rnacentral:rRNA from 1 species
GAUGAACGCUGGCGGCGUGCCUAAUACAUGCAAGUCGAGCGAACAGACGAGGAGCUUGCUCCUCUGACGUUAGCGGCGGACGGGUGAGUAACACGUGGGUAACCUACCUAUAAGACUGGGAUAACUUCGGGAAACCGGAGCUAAUACCGGAUAAUAUAUUGAACCGCAUGGUUCAAUAGUGAAAGAUGGUUUUGCUGUCACUUAUAGAUGGAUCCGCGCCGCAUUAGCUAGUUGGUAAGGUAACGGCUUACCAAGGCGACGAUGCGUAGCCGACCUGAGAGGGUGAUCGGCCACACUGGAACUGAGACACGGUCCAGACUCCUACGGGAGGCAGCAGUAGGGAAUCUUCCGCAAUGGGCGAAAGCCUGACGGAGCAACGCCGCGUGAGUGAUGAAGGUCUUCGGAUCGUAAAACUCUGUUAUUAGGGAAGAACAAAUGUGUAAGUAACUAUGCACGUCUUGACGGUACCUAAUCAGAAAGCCACGGCUAACUACGUG